CUCUACACAAACAAAACUGGUUCGCUAAGAGCUCCGACAAUGGCUGUCUGCGCAACUCACUCCUCUCUCAUGAUAGCAUACGCCGCAUCCAAGGACCUUACAAUUCCGUCUCUUUUCUCAUCUGCCAACCCAAGACCCAACAAGUUGAGCGUCGCACUCUAUCCCCCUCUUGUUCUCCUUGCGGGGAGAAGAGCUUCGAACCCAUCCUUCCCGGUGGUUGUCUCAGCCGUAGCCGCAGAGGCUGAUGUCGACACGGAGGACGCGGAGCAGAACGAAGCCACCUCCACCACCGCCACAGCCGUCCUCGAUCCGCCAAAGCCUAAGAAAGGAAAAGCAGCUUUGCUUCUCAAGAGAGAUAGAGUAUGCUUUGCUUAUCCAUCCUUUCCUUUACAAUCCCAAGCUCUAAACAUGAUUUUUUUUUCUUUCUAUGACGAUGAUGAUUCUUUUAUGUUUGUUUGUUUGUUACUCUCAUUUGGCAGACAAGGUCUAAGAGGUUUCUGGAAAUCCAAAAGCUAAGGGAAACCAAAAAGGAGUACGACGUCAAGACUGCUAUAUCUUUGCUUAAGCAAACCGCUAACACAAGGUUUGUGGAGUCGGUCGAAGCCCAUUUCCGUCUCAACAUCGAUCCUAAGUACAAUGAUCAGCAGCUGCGAGCAACCGUAUGGUUUUUUUUAUUUUGCUUUACAUAUAUGUAUAGCUUUGUGUUUCGUUGAAAUUUAAAUCUGAACGCAUUGUCUUUGGUAGGUGAGCCUUCCUAAAGGAACAGGGCAAACUGUUAAAGUGGCUGUUCUUGCACAAGGUAACUAAUUGCCCCCCCUCCCCUCCCCUCCCCUCCCCUCCCAAAUGCUAAGUUAGUCGGACAGUUCAUUCCAAGGGACUCUGUAGAAAAUACUUUGUGUGGUUGACCUUCUAUUAUUUUGUUUGGAUGGAUUGGUGUAUUUCUAUAGAGAAAAAUGUGCUGGGAUCAUUCUUUUCCUUUCUUUCUGUUUCUCUAAGUUAUUUCCAUGAUGAAUAAUAUCCAGGUGAGAAGGUCGAUGAAGCAAAAAAUGCAGGGGCAGAUAUUGUGGGCAGUGAUGAUUUGAUCGAACAGAUAAAAGGAGGGUUCAUGGAGUUCGAUAAGUUAAUUGCAUCCCCGGAUAUGAUGGUCAAGGUGUGUUUUUACUCAUUUGUUAAUAACAAAAAUAAACUUGAAUAGCUGUUACGACAUUCAUUCUUGGCAAAGAAUGUGACAUGAGACAAAUGUUGCUCGUCAUCUCUUAUUACUAAACCUUCUUUAACUUGGGCGGUUAGGUUGCUGGCCUGGGAAAGAUUCUUGGUCCACGAGGACUCAUGCCAAAUCCCAAGGCUGGUACCGUCACAGCUAACAUUCCCCAGGUUAGCCUACUACUUACUCAGGCAGGCAAAAUCAUCUUCGGGUAAUCAAUCAUAGUAUAAUGAUGAUAUGCAUAAAUCUAUCUCAGGCUAUAGAAGAGUUCAAGAAGGGAAAAGUAGAAUUCAGAGCAGACAAAACUGGGAUUGUUCACAUUCCGUUUGGGAAAGUGAAUUUCACAGAGGAAGACCUGCUCGUAAACUUCCUUGCAGCAGUGGUAGGCUGAUUCUCCCCCAUUUAAUAACGUUGUUUAUCUCUUGUGCUGCUGAAUAAAAAGAGUGGAACGUAAAUGCAGAAAUCGGUGGAGACAAACAAGCCAAAGGGAGCAAAAGGAGUGUACUGGAAAAGCGCACACAUAUGUUCGUCAAUGGGGCCAUCCAUCAAGUUGAACAUAAGGGAGAUGAUAGACUUCAAGCCAUAAAUAACCAGCUUAGAAAGAGAUAGAUUGCUAUCAUUAUCCCCUUUGUGGAUUAGGUAGUGCUCUCACUUCGCCUUCUCUACACAAACAAAACUGGUUCGCUAAGAGCUCCGACAAUGGCUGUCUGCGCAACUCACUCCUCUCUCAUGAUAGCAUACGCCGCAUCCAAGGACCUUACAAUUCCGUCUCUUUUCUCAUCUGCCAACCCAAGACCCAACAAGUUGAGCGUCGCACUCUAUCCCCCUCUUGUUCUCCUUGCGGGGAGAAGAGCUUCGAACCCAUCCUUCCCGGUGGUUGUCUCAGCCGUAGCCGCAGAGGCUGAUGUCGACACGGAGGACGCGGAGCAGAACGAAGCCACCUCCACCACCGCCACAGCCGUCCUCGAUCCGCCAAAGCCUAAGAAAGGAAAAGCAGCUUUGCUUCUCAAGAGAGAUAGAGUAUGCUUUGCUUAUCCAUCCUUUCCUUUACAAUCCCAAGCUCUAAACAUGAUUUUUUUUUCUUUCUAUGACGAUGAUGAUUCUUUUAUGUUUGUUUGUUUGUUACUCUCAUUUGGCAGACAAGGUCUAAGAGGUUUCUGGAAAUCCAAAAGCUAAGGGAAACCAAAAAGGAGUACGACGUCAAGACUGCUAUAUCUUUGCUUAAGCAAACCGCUAACACAAGGUUUGUGGAGUCGGUCGAAGCCCAUUUCCGUCUCAACAUCGAUCCUAAGUACAAUGAUCAGCAGCUGCGAGCAACCGUAUGGUUUUUUUUAUUUUGCUUUACAUAUAUGUAUAGCUUUGUGUUUCGUUGAAAUUUAAAUCUGAACGCAUUGUCUUUGGUAGGUGAGCCUUCCUAAAGGAACAGGGCAAACUGUUAAAGUGGCUGUUCUUGCACAAGGUAACUAAUUGCCCCCCCUCCCCUCCCCUCCCCUCCCCUCCCAAAUGCUAAGUUAGUCGGACAGUUCAUUCCAAGGGACUCUGUAGAAAAUACUUUGUGUGGUUGACCUUCUAUUAUUUUGUUUGGAUGGAUUGGUGUAUUUCUAUAGAGAAAAAUGUGCUGGGAUCAUUCUUUUCCUUUCUUUCUGUUUCUCUAAGUUAUUUCCAUGAUGAAUAAUAUCCAGGUGAGAAGGUCGAUGAAGCAAAAAAUGCAGGGGCAGAUAUUGUGGGCAGUGAUGAUUUGAUCGAACAGAUAAAAGGAGGGUUCAUGGAGUUCGAUAAGUUAAUUGCAUCCCCGGAUAUGAUGGUCAAGGUGUGUUUUUACUCAUUUGUUAAUAACAAAAAUAAACUUGAAUAGCUGUUACGACAUUCAUUCUUGGCAAAGAAUGUGACAUGAGACAAAUGUUGCUCGUCAUCUCUUAUUACUAAACCUUCUUUAACUUGGGCGGUUAGGUUGCUGGCCUGGGAAAGAUUCUUGGUCCACGAGGACUCAUGCCAAAUCCCAAGGCUGGUACCGUCACAGCUAACAUUCCACAGGUUAGCCUACUACUUACUCAGGCAGGCAAAAUCAUCUUCGGGUAAUCAAUCAUAGUAUAAUGAUGAUAUGCAUAAAUCUAUCUCAGGCUAUAGAAGAGUUCAAGAAGGGAAAAGUAGAAUUCAGAGCAGACAAAACUGGGAUUGUUCACAUUCCGUUUGGGAAAGUGAAUUUCACAGAGGAAGACCUGCUCGUAAACUUCCUUGCAGCAGUGGUAGGCUGAUUCUCCCCCAUUUAAUAACGUUGUUUAUCUCUUGUGCUGCUGAAUAAAAAGAGUGGAACGUAAAUGCAGAAAUCGGUGGAGACAAACAAGCCAAAGGGAGCAAAAGGAGUGUACUGGAAAAGCGCACACAUAUGUUCGUCAAUGGGGCCAUCCAUCAAGUUGAACAUAAGGGAGAUGAUAGACUUCAAGCCAUAAAUAACCACAUUUGUGUUUUUUUUUUUGUGAGUGUAGGCGAACACCAUUAGUUAUCUCUUGUAUACCUCACCGGUUGUAUCACCUUAACUCUGAUAAGACCAUUUGCUUUAUUGAUUAUUACUGUUAAAAUUGCGAGGCCUCUAUUGCCUUAAUGCCUGCCUUCACCACUGGAGAUGAGAGAACACACGAGUCUUUUUUUUUUUAAAUAAAAAAAAAAACAAAUAUCCUUGAAAUUGGAAGAUAAAAUGAGAUAAUUUCAUGAGGCCGUUACGUUGCGACGUGGCAGCGUUUUCUGCCAAGGAUACAAAGCUCGUGAGUGAGUGAAAAGGAAGGUUCGUAAUCCUUCCUUGCAAUCAAUCGAUCAUUCAUGGCGGAGAACUGCAUAGUUUCGGUCAACCCUAAACCCUCAAAGGGAUUAUCCUCUAAGCUUCUCGAUCUUGUGGAGAGAGUUGUUGUGAAGCUCAUGCACGAUGCUUCUCUGCCUCUCCACUACCUCUCCGGCAACUUCGCUCCCGUGCGGGAUGAAACUCCUCCGGUGAAGGAUCUCCCCGUCGUCCAUGGAUUUCUUCCAGUAAGUGAGCUCUUUAAUUUACACACUCCAUAUCCUUUUCCGAGGAAGGUUCUAAUUCGUCUUUUUUAUAUUUCCCAGGAGCCAAAUAAGAAAAAGAAUACUUAAAUAGAGACAGCGGUCAUGUAAAAGAAAAGAAAGCCAUCAGCAAUUUGAUAAAGAGAAACUUCGUAGCAGUUUCCAAUAUCGUUGUCAAGAAAUGUGGAGGCUAAUCUUCUUUAUUAUUCAUGUGAAGACGACACUGAGAGAGAUAAGGCAAUUGACCUUUAUAUAGAUAAACAAAGAAACAAAUGAAGAAGUUAACCUCCACCAAAUCGUAAAUGUGUCCACCAAUACAUUAUUCUCAACUCUUUUUGCUGCUCCUAGUAGCUUAGGUGUUGAGAGCAGCAGAGACGGAAUGCUUCUGCAAUCUUGGAGAACAGAAGAACUGAAGCAAGAAUUGAUGAAUGGGGACGACAAAUUUAUUAUAUAGAAGCGCACACAUGUCACACAACACCAAGCUUAACAUAUCCAAACGAAUGAGCUUUUGAAUAUAACAAACUAAGCAUGGCACUAGUAACUUGAAACUUUUCACCCACUAAAACUUGGAGAAUUGUUUGUAACUCCAUUUAUUUUGGUUUAAAAGAAAAAGAAGAAGAUCCUUGGCUCUGUGGUUGCUAUUACGUUUGGCCGGAAUCAGUGAAACCAGCCACCUGCUGUCCUCCGGGAUUGAGCUAUCCAGACCAAUCCCUCAAUCAGAGAGCACUUGGCCUUGAACAUUCAUUCCUUGAAUUCACGCUCUUCUGUACUUGUAUCGCGUUCUAGCGAGGCCCAUCGGACCUGAGACCGAAGCGGGUCGCUAAUAAUAACAGGCCCAGUUAUGUGUUCGUCACGUGGCAAACAGACAACCGUAGAUUAUAUAUCAUUAAUUAAUUAAUUACUGGGAUAAAAUUUAUUUUUCUUUCAUAGCCCCCGAGCGGAUCGGAGCAACCUUACUUGCUUGCUAGCUUAAUCGCAAAACGGCGAAGCGAGCAAGAAUCAUUGUCUCAUACUCACAUCCCUUUAGGUAUCUGUCUUCACUCUUGUAUUUCUCUUUUUAUGCUUAUUUUGGGGGUUUAGGGUUUUUCUGAUGACAGAUCUGAUUAUUUGAACUUUUAUUUUAUUUAUGGUUUCGAUAGAGCCUUUGCGGUUAUCUUCAGGGUCGCUUUUGUAUUGUCGGACUGCUUCAAAUCUCAUGUUAACUUGAUAGUGUUCUUGAUGCCCCCACCUCCCUAAAUCAUGAUAGCAUAUCUUUAACUUCUUGCUUUGCUUGUGGUACUAGCAAUGAGUAGUAGUAAGAAGAAGAAUCCAACUGUAUUCCUGGAUGUCUCCAUUGGCGGGGAUCCCCUUGAACGUAUCGUGAUUGAGGUAUUACAUCCACACUCUCUGUGCCUUUCUUUUCCUUGUCUUAAAGUUUCUCUCUCAAUUGCAGCUUUUUGCUCAUCUUGUCCCCAAGACUGCCGAGAACUUUCGUGCCCUCUGCACAGGUACCCUUUUAACUUUCUUUGUGUGGUAUUCAUGUCAACUUGACAAGAUAAUAAUGGGCUUCUCUCUCAGGUGAGGCAGGCCUUGGCAAGACCACUAGCAAGCCUCUACAUUUCAAAGGAUCAUCUUUCCAUCGAGUCAUCAAAGGAUUCAUGGCCCAAGUAUCUAUCCCUUCUACUUAUUCAUUUUCUUCUAUGCUUCUCAUGGACAAACCAAUUCAUUACCGCUUCUCUUUCCUUCCUCUUUUUGCAGGGUGGUGAUUUUUCUAAUGGAAAUGGUAUUCUUCUAACCUCUUAUCCUCUAAUCAUAUUAUAUAUAAGAUCCUAUGUAUAUUUUUAUGUUGUCUGUACCUCACGGCCGUAGAGGCAGUCUAGUUACUAGUUAGCCACAACACACGUUUAAGGAACUGACACAAAGGAGCUAAUUUUACAUAUGAUGAAAAUGGCACUUUAGAAGGGUGUAUGGGUUUUUUUUUUGAUUCAUUACACUUAGAAUAAAUGAUUUUGAAGGACUUUGGUUGGUUUUCAGGCACCGGCGGUGAGAGCAUCUAUGGUGGGAAGUUUCCAGGUACUACUUUUUUUUAUAACCUCUAUAUUCACCUUUCUUGAGUUGGUAAAAAAUCCUCAAUAUAUUCUGUUACCUCUACAGAUGAGAACUUUGAACUGGACCAUGAAGAAGGUGGAGUCCUUUCGAUGGCAAAUUGUGGCCCAAACACCAACGGGUCACAGUUUUUUAUCCUUUUCAAACGCCAGCCUCAUCUCGAUGGGUAAUGCAUGUUCCAUAGAUAUGGUUAUUUCUUAGAAAUUAAACUCAUUGUAAAAAACAGUUUGAAAUGUUCUGUUUUUUUUCCCCCUGGAAUCAUAUUGUAGGAAGCAUGUUGUAUUUGGGAAAGUCGUUAAGGGAAUGGAAGUUGUCAAGAAAAUGGAGCUCGUAGGGACGAGUGAUGGUAAACCAACCAGCAAUGUCAAAAUAAUUGACUGUGGCGAAGUGUCUCAGUUAAAAGGCGAGGAUGCUGCUGAGAAAGAUAAAGGUAGUGAAGUUAAUUUUUGAUUGUGGAAUGGCUAUGUUUAUGAUUCUUCGGUGAUUUCCAGGGAAAUUGAAAAAAUCUAGCAAAGACUCACGGGAGAAGAGGACUAAGCGAAAAAGAAGAUACUCGUCUUCGUCAGAUUCAUACAGCUCAAGUUCUGAAUCAGAUUCUGAAUCAGAAACAGAUUCAUCCUCGUAUGAGUCUAGUUCUUCCAGUGAUGGGAAGCGUAGGAAGAGGAGGUCAACAAAGAGACACAAAGGCCGACGCGGGGAAAGAAAGAUCAAAGGACGAAAGGGGAAAAAGAAUGCUCGAGGAGAUAGACCACCUCAACGCAGGUCUGGCUAUUAGCUCAGUUAAUGGUAUUUAGUUUAGUCUUUGCCAGUUCUUCUGCGUGAUUCUUUAGUGUGUUUUUUUUUUUACAGAAACAAGGAUAGUUCAAGUGACACCGAGAGUAGCAAUUCUGAUGAUGAGAGAAUGGGCCACGAAAAGGCCAAAAAGUCAAAGAAAGCUAAAGGUAAGUGUAACUCUGUUAAGAAUCUUGGGUCUUUCAGCCUGUAUUUGGCAACUAGUUAUCGUAUGUGGAAGUGACAUUGAAUCUUGCUUUCUUCUUGGAACAGAUGGUGUGCCUGUAAGGAAUGCUGCUGAUUCUAGUCCUGCGGAGAAGAAAUUUUCGGGGGACAAACCAGAUUCUCUUCUGAAUGAAAAUGAACUUGUAGGAAAUGGAAAAGCCACCAAAGUUGAUAAUCAACGUGCGGACUCGGUGAAAUCAAGGUUAAUCCCCCUUACUUUACUUUACUUUGUGUUCUUCAGCUCUGCUUUUGCAUUUAUUUCCGUGUUCUGAUUUGUGGUCCCUGGCAAACUUUUUACCAUGUUCUAUUGCUAUAUAGGAGUAUGAGCCCAGUUUCUAGAAGAGGUCAAAACAGUAGGAGCAAAAGUCCUGCUAGUAGGAGCCCUGUGAGAGAUGUUGGAAAUAGGAGCACAAGUCCUCGCGAGAGGAAAUCUUCAAAAAGCCCAUCUCCAAAUGGUGAGCCCAAGCGCAUCCGAAAGGGGCGUGGGUUCACAGAACGUUAUUCAUUUGCUCGGAAGUACCGUACACCAUCUCCUGAGCGUUCCCCUCCUCGGCGCUGGCCUGAGAGAAGAAGCUUUCAGGACAGGAACACGGACAGGUAACUUAAAUACAUACUGAAAACAAUGAAAGUUGAGACUGUAAGUAAAUAAAUACUAAAGCCUUGUUUUUGUUUAAAUUUGUGGAGGUAUCCAAGCAACAGGAGUUACUCUGAACGCUCGCCUAGACGACGCUUUAGGAGCCCACCCAGGAGAAGGAGCCCUCCAAGGUUGGCUUUCUUUUAUCUCUUUAUGAAGAAGAUUAAACUCCUAAGACAGUCGCUUUACAUAAACUUGUCUGUCGUGCUGCAUAGGUACAACCGGAGGAGAAGAAGCAUUUCACGGAGUCCAGAUGGGCAGCGCAGAGGUUUGAGAGAGAGCCAAAGUCCAAGUCAUCGUAGCCCCAGAAAGAGGCAGCCAAUUAGCCAAGACCUUAAAUCCCGUCUGGGGCCACAAAGGUCUCCUGCAGAAUCGCUCAGCGCUUCGCCCUCAACCUCCCCAUCGGGACAGAGAGGUUUGGUUAGCUAUGCAGAUUGAUCACUCAUCCCUCCAUUUGCAUGCUGCCUGCCUGCUCUGAUGACUUGCGAGUUUUGUUGUUGUUGUCAUAUGAUACUCGUCACAUUUGGCUGUUGUUGCUUUUCAGAUUUUGUUGAAUAUUAAUCAAAUUUAAAGACUAGUUUUAUUUCAGAAUUAGAUUUUGGGGAUUUAAUAAUGUGCGAUAACACAAUUCUUUUGUUGUGGCUCAUCGACCUAUUGAGUAAUUUAAAUCUAUAAUAGAUUUGAGCUUUUAUUGGGCUCUCACACUAAUAAUCCUUAUGGACCAUUCGCCUAUUAAUCACAUAUUAUUUUGAGCUUAAAUUGGGCUUUAUUUAUAAGUGAAAACAAUUCUUUAGUUAUGGCCCAUGGUCCUAUUGUAAAGCUUAUAUUGGUCUUAAGAAUGUGUGAGUUAUAAAAAAGGCCUCCUUGACUUUUGGAGAAAAUAAAAUAAAAAGUGUACGGAAGAGGGGGUGAGAGUUUCUUUUCUGAGAGUGUCAGAUCUGAGAGCGAAGGAAGGAUGCGAGUGGGUGACAAUCGGUAAUAGAGAGCAUCAUAGAAGCCGCGUGACCUCAUAUCGAAUUGAGAUGGAGGAAGCUGCUUCUGUGGGCGAUGCACAUGCACGGGGGAAGCACAUGAUCCUUGCGGAGCUUGGUCGUGUGGAACAGGAAGUCAGAUUCUUGGAGGUGAGAGAUUCUUCUUCUUCUUUCUAUUCUAUUUUUAGCUGCCUAAUUCACACUUGCUCGAUGUUAUUAGGUUGUAGACUGUUUUCUAAGAACUGGCUCAUGUGUUCGAAAUCUAUUCUCCGUUGAUUUUUGCUUACCUCAUUCCUUCUUAUAUACUUGUGAUCAUAGUCCAGCUCCCCCUUUUCUCAUUCAUAUGAUGUGCUUUUCAAUCUUGGAUUGUAUGUGUGCACUCUUUUGUGUCUUCAUCUUUGAAUUUCCCCAGAAUUCGUUGCUAUUACUCUCCAGAAAAAGUUGGAAGAGCUCGGCCAGACAGAUAGUGUAUCAACCCAGUGUGAGGAGUAAGUGAGGGAAUCUCACCCUAUCUUUUCUUUAGUUAGUUUCCUGAAACUUGCGUGUCUACUGGUGUGAUCAACUUGUGUAUUGUCAUGACUCACAGGCUGCUUUGUGUCAUCGAGAAAUCACCUGACCCUCUCUUGCCACUGUGAGUUGCUUCCAACUCUUUUUGGUGUUUACAUUUUGGUUGCUGUCUGAUGCUGUGUGGUUUUGGCAGGACCAAGGGACCUUUGAACUUAGGAUGGGACCGGUGGUUUGAAGCACCAAAUGGGGGAGAACGCUGCAGAUGCUUUAUACUUUGAUUCAUGAUAGUAAAAUGUAGUAGUUACUAUAUAGGCUUGGCAUUUUUGGUGGUAAAAUAUCUUUAACAUGGGACCAAACUAUUAUCAAAAUGUGUGUGUUUCAACAUUGUGUGCAUCUUCCCUUACUAGUAAAAUCGUACAGGUUACGAUGAGCAUUGGAUUGUAUAUAAUGGUUUAGUUGCACGUAUGUAAACAGUAUAUGUUUAAUUUUGUCUGUAUGAGAUCCGAGCAAUGGUGUAUUAGCUUCUCAGGAGCAUUUUCUUUCUCUAACUGUAAUGUUUCAUGCAUAAAAUAUAUCUUCUCUCUUGUCAUUAGCCUUGUCAAUGUUGCUAUCACAGGUUUCUGGUGCGCUGGAUCACGUUCACAAUAUAUGACUUUUUUUUUUAUGUCAAAGAACAUAACACACAAAUGGUGCUAAUGUCUCGUUGUACAAUACCUGGGACGUUGGAAGUAUCUACAGUCUGAACAGUUGGUGGCGGAGCUGCAGGGGCAUGGGCUGCCUGCUGUGUUUGAGGACUUGCUGGUUGCACAGAACCUAUAACAGAUCUUGGAGCAACUCCUGGAGUUGACAUAGGUGUAAAUCCUAUGGGUCCAGCUCCUGGACCAACUACUUGGGGCAUCUUGGGGUUAGAAUAUUUCCUAAUUUGUGAAGGGACAGAGGAUGCAUAUGAACCAGGACCAGGAGGAACGGGGUAUGCAUUGUUAGAUUGUCCCUGAUCACAUAGCUGCUAGCUUAAUCAAACUAAAAAGUGCCAGAAAAUUCAAACACAGUUGAGUUGAUGAAUAACACACGGUGAAUGAAUGAGAAGCAAUGGUUGGCUGCUAAUAUUGGUAUGCGUUCUUCAGUGCAGGGGGAGUUGAUGGAACAAAAGUAGUUCUCAUGGAUGGCUGAGCAUUGCUUGCAGGUGCCGAAGGAUAUGAUGGCUGCAUAUACACAUGUUUGUCAAGAAAUUUUGGCCCAAAAAACCUAUACAUAACAAACAAAACAGUUCCCCACCACAAACUUUUCCUCGCGACCUCUAAGAUAUAGAUUUUACAGAACCAAACUGAAGCAAAGGUCUAACUUAUCCCAUUUUCCGGACAUGUCAUUAGAGGCUGAAAUUCGGUUGAGGAGUAUAUUUUUCGGGGUUUUUGGCAUUUGGCCACCACAUACAUAAUCCAGAUGAUGUCUUCCUAUCUCAAAAAAUUGACCAAUACCCUAUAAAAUAAACGGAAAAUCUUCUGAUCUAGACAUCUGAAAACUGCCUGAUAAUGAUGACCAUUUAUGCAUAUGAUGUUGUAACGAAGAAUGUGUAAAAGGAAAUGCAACAAAGCCAAAACUUCAGGAACCUGCGGUGCUGGCUGAGCUUGGUGAGGCAUAAACAUGGUUGCUUGUUGCAUUGGUGGAUGUGAAGCUGGGGGCACAUAUCCUCCAACAUAAGAAUCGGUGUAUGGUUGUUGAUAGUGAUUAUCAUAUGGGUUACUGUCUUACUGAUAAUGUUUGGUUGCGCAUGUGUUGGCUCAUAAGCCACAGAAGAAUACAUGCUAAGUAUGUUGUCCGUACAAGCUAUAUCCAGACUCUAGUUUAAAGACAGUUGCAGAGAAAAAAAGAAUGAGACCUGAUUAUAUGGUAUGGUGCUUUGAAGCUGAAUCUUGAUUGGCUAUUGAAAAAGUUUUUGUUUCCCUUUUAAGAAAUCAAGUUUUUAUGAAUCUUGAUUGGCUAAUAAAAUGCCUUUUUUUUAAACACUUGCGGGAUUUUAUUAUGACAUAGAAAUUGUAAAGUCGUAGUGUAAUACAUAAUUAAGAAAGCAAGGAACAUAGUUAUAAUAUAAAUAGGACACAUCUCCAUGAAUCUCCCGCUUCGCUAAUUUAUCUGCCACCUGAUUUGAGUUUCUGUUUGUCCAUAUAAAUUGCAUUAUUCCAGUUUUCUACUCUACUAUAUAAUUUCUCGUGUCCAAUUAUAUCCAUCAAAAUGAAGAACUUGACGAUUGAGGAUGUCAAUUGCUUUUCUACAGUCACUUUCAUGUAACUUCUACUCCAAGCAUGUUGAAGAGCCAUAAGAAUUGCUUGUAACUCACUUUCAAGGACAUUCUGAACUUUUUUUCCUACUGCCUGCACUGUUCCUUGAUAGCUUCCAAAAGAGUCCCUGAUAAUAAAACCCACUUUACUUGCUUGAUCCACAUUAAUAAAAAAUCUAUCAACAUUAUACUUUAUCCAUUCAUCUGGUGGUCUUCUCCAUUUGUUAAGGCGACUGUCAUUUUGAGUGCUAGGAAUCCUUCUUUGUUCUGCUUCAAGAGUUUGAUUACUAUUCCAUCAUUCUCUAACAUCCGUAUAAUCAAAGCUGAUAAAAUGCUUUAUGAAAAACAAAAUCUUUGUUAAGAAAAAAGAAAAAAAAUGAAAAUCAUUCGAAAAAGUAAAAAAAAACCAGUACCUAAAUUUGGAGGAAGAAAAUGAAUAUAGUUGCGGAUUUAUAUUUAAAUGUGUUUAAAAUGUCUUUUGAAAAUAAAGAAAGAAGAAAUUGCUAGUUUAAAAAAAGAGAAGAAAAAAAGAAAUUGCAAUCUGCAUCGAUGGUCAAGAAUAUGACAGGUGUCGAGUACUAAGUAAGCUGUAUUGUAACAGUGGUGCACUAGCAUGCAGAAUAUAAUAGCUUAGAUUGCUAUCAUUAUCCCCUUUGUGGAUUAGGUAGUGCUCUCACUUCGCCUUCUCUACACAAACAAAACUGGUUCGCUAAGAGCUCCGACAAUGGCUGUCUGCGCAACUCACUCCUCUCUCAUGAUAGCAUACGCCGCAUCCAAGGACCUUACAAUUCCGUCUCUUUUCUCAUCUGCCAACCCAAGACCCAACAAGUUGAGCGUCGCACUCUAUCCCCCUCUUGUUCUCCUUGCGGGGAGAAGAGCUUCGAACCCAUCCUUCCCGGUGGUUGUCUCAGCCGUAGCCGCAGAGGCUGAUGUCGACACGGAGGACGCGGAGCAGAACGAAGCCACCUCCACCACCGCCACAGCCGUCCUCGAUCCGCCAAAGCCUAAGAAAGGAAAAGCAGCUUUGCUUCUCAAGAGAGAUAGA
rnacentral:lncRNA from 1 species